ACAGGUAGAUAGAAAAGGCAACAAAACAUACAAAGUUUAUGAUAGAUUAAAAUCCCAGAAAUAGUAAGAUAAAGUAACCAACAACUUUGGUUUACAAUAUAGCACUUAAUGCAGUAGAAACAACAUAGUAGCACCACCUAGAACUAUAGAGCGAUUUAUUCGUCCAACAUGUUUAGGACAAUUGAAGUAGCAUUCUUGGCGCAUAAUCCACUGCAAGACUCAUCACCACAGUCAAGGGAAGGGAUGAAUGUCAACCCCAAACAGCCGCAAACGCUUUUCUACCCUUACAAUUUCAAGUGAUGUCGAUUCAAGAAAUGUUGUUUGCUGUGGCAUCAGAUUAGUUGGAGGCAUCAGCUCCCCAAAUCCAAUGGACAAAGGCAUCGAUGCUGGAACAAUCCCAUGGCAUGUACUAAAUCCAAGGUUCUCAUGGUCCCAAUCAUCAAUCAUCAAUCUAGAUGGAGAGAAGAUUGGACAUGGCACAUGAUGUGGUAAAGACAUGGUACCAGUAUGGGGCUUGAUAUGAAUAAACAUGUGGUCUGUGCUUCUAGUCUUACCGACACCACGGUAGAAGGAUAAAACAUCACCUUUCUUGAGAUUCUUCUCCUUGAUAAAGAAGUGCCAGCCCUUAGUCAGGACAUAGGUCUUGCUAUUGUUCCAGAGGCAAAAGCGAAAGCACCAGAUUAACCCUGUGGACAUGUCCUCAAAAUUGAGAAAAUCUUCAUCAUCUUCAGCACUCUUGGUCUUGGAAAUCUUGGGAAAGCACUCCUCUGCGCAUUGCCUUGGGAUCAAUAGACGAUUCAGCUUGCCAACAUCACUUGCAGUCAGAAUCUUACUAAACAAGUACUCCACAUCAACGACCUUCCUGCCCCUUUGUCUUCCCUCACAUAAAUCUAAAGCUCCAUGACCAUUGCUCAUGCUAGAUUGGAAAACUAGUGUAGGCUUGGAUGACCAGUUAGAGACAUAUCGAGAGGGCAAAGGGGGGUUUACCAUCUGGAAGGGAUUCAAACAUGGUGGGACCUUCCCCAUCUGCACCUCCAUCUCCCUUGAAAUCGUUGUUGCCGAGAAAGCCAUGGAUCUAGAAGAGAGGUGCUAUGCAAAAAGAAUUGGUGAGGUAGGGGAGGGGAUGUGGAUGGGGGUUGAUGGGAUUAAGUAGUUGCAAGAUUGUACUUCUUUAUAUGGGUAUUUAUUGUGCUUAUUAAUUUUUCUUUUGGCAGCAAAUGAGAAAGUGGCUUUGGUGAUUUGGUAGCAUUCUGGAAUCCUCUACCCUCCCAUGAGAAGAGUAGGGUGCCAUUUUAGGAUCUUGUCUUAUUUGCAUGCAUUAAUUAGUCCAUCAGGGUUAUUUAAAUGGGAUACUCCAAAGCUCAGCCUUAAGAGUUGCUUAGGACGGCCCAGCUGGCAAUUGCCUAGCUAAACAUGGCCUGCCAUGACCUUUCACCCUCAAGCCACAUGAGGCCCACCUCUUGACCUGGCACCGUGGGAUGCCUCCAACCAACUUCUACCUUAACCACUAAGGAAAGGGUGAGGGGUUCAAACGUAUUCAAUACACCAACCCACAUAGGACACACAUGCACACACUCUGCUAGGUAUGAGAAGGAUGACUCCCCUUAGACCUUUUGAGCAUGGGGCAAGGCGUUUCUUCAAUCAAUACCUUGGUGAUAGACAAGACCACACCAGGGCAUAGCUAUGUCACCUCGCGUGGCUUAGCACCACCCAAAUCCUGUCUAGCCUAAUGGAUGGGUGUUUGAUCAAACCCACCACAUUGUGGGGACCAGACUCUCCAACUUUGAGUGGAUCCUAUGCCCCUAAUCCAAUUGGAUGAGGACAUCUCAACCAUACAUGCUUCCUCAAGUCUCAACCAUUCACAAUACAACAUUGAACACACAAAUCAAGGGACAUUUCCAUGAAUACAUGCCAAGAAACUACAAGGGUAGAUUAGGGGUCGAGAAAGCCAUAGAUCUAGAAUAGAGGUGCUAUGCAAAAAGAAUUGGUGAGGUAGGG
rnacentral:lncRNA from 1 species